rnacentral:tRNA from 1 species
UGGGGAUUGGUGUAACGGUAGCACGAGUGACUCUGACUCACUUAGUCUAGGUUCGAAUCCUAGAUCCCCAC